GUAGACUAGCCAAACCCUCCUUUGCAGUGCUGUGGAGGAAGGUCUGGAAAAGCGGCACUAUAUUAAGAUUAGCAUCAUCAUUAGCAUUGCUAGCAAAAGUUGGACCUGUAUGAUGCUGACCUGAAGCAACGCUGGACCACGAACCCGACAAGGAGACCCCUAGACACCAGGUAUGGUGCGUGGCAAUUUGUUUGUGGUAACUUGAUAAAUUACUUUUUUGUUUAGUUACAUUGAAUGCACCACCAAAGAGCAAUUGAAAUGAAAUGAGCCUAAGUUAACCAUCAGACAAGACAAAGAAAACAGAGCUUGUUAAAACCAGCACAGUUUUGACAUUUUUACUUUUAAAAAAAUACUCCCUCAAGUAAUUCAUAACCAAAAUUGUUAACAAUUAAAUUGCUGCCAUAGACAAAUCGAUUAAUCAACUAAUCGUUUCAGCUCUACCCAAAAGAGAAACUGUUCAACUGGCUGAUCAACACUGCUAUCAAAGAGCCAGAUGCACCUGGACCACAGGAAAGCUCAGAAACAACGUUCAGAAGUUCAUCAGACAGUCUCAGUCCACAUACAGAGGCAACAAACUUCACCUAACACCAGUCAACAGACGUCAGCAUGAAGUGUUUGCUUUCCACUCUGUCACCUGACACAGCUGACUGAUAAAAGAAAACAAAAG